rnacentral:rRNA from 1 species
UAGGGUUUGAUCCUGGCUCAGGAUGAACGCUGGCGGCGUGCCUAACACAUGCAAGUCGAGCGAGAAGGUUGCAAAUGAUUCUUCGGAAGAAUGCGCAACUGGAGAGCGGCGGACGGGUGAGUAACGCGUGGGUAACCUGCCCUAUGGAGGGGGAUAACUAAGAGAAAUCUUAGCUAAUACCGCAUAAGCGCACAGCAUCGCAUGAUGCCGUGUGAAAAACUCCGGUGCCAUAGGAUGGACCCGCGUCAGAUUAGCUAGUUGGUGAGGUAACGGCUCACCAAGGCGACGAUCUGUAGCCGACCUGAGAGGGUGAUCGGCCACAUUGGGACUGAGACACGGCCCAAACUCCUACGGGAGGCAGCAGUGGGGGAUAUUGCACAAUGGGCGAAAGCCUGAUGCAGCAACGCCGCGUGAAGGAAGACGGUUUUCGGAUUGUAAACUUCUAUCAGCAGGGAAGAAAAAAGACGGUACCUGACUAAGAAGCCCCGGCUAACUACGUGCCAGCAGCCGCGGU